rnacentral:rRNA from 1 species
CAGCCGCCGCGGUAAAACGGAGGGUGCAAGCGUUAUCCGGAUUUAUUGGGUUUAAAGGGUCCGUAGGCGGAUCUGUAAGUCAGUGGUGAAAUCUCACAGCUUAACUGUGAAACUGCCAUUGAUACUACAGGUCUUGAGUAAAUUUGAAGUGGCUGGAAUAAGUAGUGUAGCGGUGAAAUGCAUAGAUAUUACUUAGAACACCAAUUGCGAAGGCAGGUCACUAAGAUUUAACUGACGCUGAUGGACGAAAGCGUGGGGAGCGAACAGGAUUAGAUACCCGAGUAGUCCCUGUCUCUUAUAC